rnacentral:rRNA from 1 species
UACGUAGGGGGCAAGCGUUAUCCGGAUUUACUGGGUGUAAAGGGGGCGCAGACGGCAAUGCAAGCCAGGAGUGAAAGCCCGGGGCCCAACCCCGGGACUGCUCUUGGAACUGCAUGGCUGGAGUACAGGAGGGGCAGGCGGAAUUCCUAGUGUAGCGGUGAAAUGCGUAGAUAUUAGGAGGAACACCGGUGGCGAAGGCGGCUCUCUGGCCUGUAACUGACACUGAGGCUCGAAAGCGUGGGGAGCAAACAGG